ensembl:lncRNA
GGCGGAGCUAUUGAAAGGGUGACGGAGGCAGAGCUAUUGAAAGUGUGACGGAGGCAGAGCCAUUGAAAGUGUGACGGAGGCAGAGCUGUUGAAAGUGUGACGGAGGCAGAGCUAUUGAAAGUGUGACGGAGGCAGAGCUGUUGAAAGUGUGACGGAGGCAGAGCUAUUGAAAGUGGGACGGAGGCGGAGCUAUUGAAAGGAUGACGGAGGCAGAGCUAUUGAAAGUGUGACGGAGGCAGAGCCAUUGAAAGUGUGACGGAGGCAGAGCUGUUGAAAGUGUGACGGAGGCAGAGCUAUUGAAAGUGUGACGGAGGCAGAGCUAUUGAAAGUGUGACGGAGGCAGAGCUGUUGAAAGUGUGACGGAGGCAGAGCUAUUGAAAGUGGGACGGA